rnacentral:rRNA from 1 species
GAUGAACGCUGGCGGCGUGCCUAAUACAUGCAAGUCGAGCGAACAGACGAGGAGCUUACUCCUCUGACGUUAGCGGCGGACGGGUGAGUAACACGUGGAUAACCUACCUAUAAGACUGGGAUAACUUCGGGAAACCGGAGCUAAUACCGGAUAACAUGUUGAACCGCAUGGUUCAACAGUGAAAGACGGUCUUGCUGUCACUUAUCGAUGGAUCCGCGUCGCAUUAGCUAGUUGGUAAGGUAACGGCUUACCAAGGCAACGAUGCGUAGCCGACCUGAGAGAGUGAUAGGCCACACGGGAGCUGAGACACGGACCAGACUCCUACGGGAGGCAGCAGUAGGGAAUCUUCCGCAAUGGGCGAAAGCCUGACGGAGCAACGCCGCGUGAGUGAAGAAGGUCUUCGGAUCGUAAAACUCUGUUAUUAGGGAAGAACAAAUGUGUAAGUAACUAUGCACGUCUUGACGGUACCUAAUCAGAAAGCCACGGCUAACUACGUG